GAUGAACGCUGGCGGCGUGCCUAAUACAUGCAAGUCGAGCGAACAGACGAGGAGCUUGCUCCUCUGACGUUAGCGGCGGACGGGUGAGUAACACGUGGAUAACCUACCUAUAAGACUGGGAUAACUUCGGGAAACCGGAGCUAAUACCGGAUAAUAUAUUGAACCGCAUGGUUCAAUAGUGAAAGACGGUUUUGCUGUCACUUAUAGAUGGAUCCGCGCCGCAUUAGCUAGUUGGUAAGGUAACGGCUUACCAAGGCAACGAUGCGUAGCCGACCUGAGAGGGUGAUAGGCCACACUAGAACUGAGACACGGUCCAGACUCCUGCGGGAGGCAGCAGUAGGGAAUCUUCCGCAAUGGGCGAAAGCCUGACGGAGCAACGCCGCGUGAGUGAUGACGGUCUUCCGAUCGUAAAACUCUGUUAUUAGGGAAGAACAAAUGUGUAAGUAACUAUGCACGUCUUGACGGUACCUAAUCAGAAAGCCACGGCUAACUACGUG
rnacentral:rRNA from 1 species